UACGGGAGGCAGCAGUGGGGAAUAUUGCACAAUGGGCGAAAGCCUGAUGCAGCUAUGCCGCGUGUAUGAAGAAGGCCUUAGGGUUGUAAAGUACUUUCAUCGGGGAGGAAAAAACAAAACUAAUAAUUUUAUUUCUUGACGUUACCCGAAAAAGAAGCACCGGCUAACUCCGUGCCAGCAGCCGCGGUAAUACGGAGGGUGCUAGCGUUAAUCAGAAUUACUGGGCGUAAAGAGCACGUAGGUGGUUUUUUUAAAGUCAGAUGUGAAAUCCCUGGGCUUAACCUAGGAACUGCAUUUUGAAACUGAAAUACUAGAGUAUCGUAGAGGGAGGUAGAAUUCUAGGUGUAGCGGUGAAAUGCGUAGAUAUCUGGAGGAAUACCUGUGGCGAAAGCGGCCUCCUAAACGAAUACUGACACUGAGGUGCGAAAGCGUGGGGAGCAAAACAGGGAUUAGAUACC
rnacentral:rRNA from 1 species